CUCCGUCACGGGAGAUCUCAGGUGAGUCCUUCACUCCUCUUUCCUUCUGGCUAUGUGACGACAAUCAGCUUAUUCGCAAGUGCCCCUUUGUUCUGGCUUGCAGGACGACUGUCCAGGGCCCUCUCCUUUCCUGGACGUAACAGAUACAAGUGGUAAGUAUUGAGAGUUUGGAUGCACAAUGGAUACCUGCUGCUACUUUUGACGAACUCCGAGGCGACCCAGCGGAUUAUACUCCCGGUCGUCCAGAUGCUGGGGGAACUGCCCAAGGGCUGCCGGGAUCCAACUAAAACCGUACUGGUAAGUGUACGGGAGGGGGUUUCCACGGUCUCUGUAUCCUGAGUGACGAGUCGACAUGCAGGUAGACGCUUCAAAGGGACCCGCUAGAUCUGCACAAGAGCAUAAAGGUAAGUGUAACAGGACUGGACACGGAUAGUGGACAGAGGGGCCGCUGGCUCUUCACUCGGGGGCACAAGUAAGUCCGUAGGAAAGACAACUGGGGUUUCACUUGAGCAUACAGGCGAGUGUACAACACAAUAUGUUGGCUUUAGCUUUGGGCAUAAGGUAAGUACAUCCAAUACAACUGGGACUUCACUCUGGGCAGACAGGCGAGUGUACAACACAAUAUGCUGGCUUUAGCUUUGGGCAUAGGGUAAGUACAUCCAAUAUAACUGGGACUUUACUCUGGGCAGACAGGUGGGUGUACAACACAAUAUGCUGACUUUAGCUUUGGGCAUACGCUUACGGUGAAUAUACAGGGAAACAGGAAGUGAUGUAACUCACAGACCUUCGAAGGAAUAGACGUCAGACGUUCCUUUUCUGAGGCUUCUACCAACUGCUGAUAGAGAGGCGGAUCGAAAACUGUUGCGUUGGGCCGAACACGGCCUCCGCUGGCGUCACACACAGGUAAGUUGUCUCACCCGGGGUGUACUACACUGGAUGGGUCGAACGCUUCCCUCUUCUUUCUACCAACCGACAAGUCAAGAGAUCUAGACAGGGGCGAACCUUUGAAGAACUCCACAGCAGGUAAUAAUACACGCACAGCUGAUUUCCUCCUACAGCAGCCAACUCCUCACCAUUGAUACUUCCCAAUAGAUCCACACUGUUCUUACUUGAAAUUGUUUCCCACCACCGUCACGUGGGGAAGAAGGGUCAGGAUGUCAUCGACGGCAUAUAAUUGGAGAUGUUUUC
ensembl:lncRNA